rnacentral:rRNA from 1 species
CCGAAUUCGUCGACAACAGAGUUUGCUCCUGGCUCAGAUUGAACGCUGGCGGCAGGCCUAACACAUGCAAGUCGAGCGGAUGAGAGGAGCUUGCUCCUGGAUUCAGCGGCGGACGGGUGAGUAAUGCCUAGGAAUCUGCCUGGUAGUGGGGGACAACGUUUCGAAAGGAACGCUAAUACCGCAUACGUCCUACGGGAGAAAGCAGGGGACCUUCGGGCCUUGCGCUAUCAGAUGAGCCUAGGUCGGAUUAGCUAGUUGGUGAGGUAAUGGCUCACCAAGGCGACGAUCCGUAACUGGUCUGAGAGGAUGAUCAGUCACACUGGAACUGAGACACGGUCCAGACUCCUACGGGAGGCAGCAGUGGGGAAUAUUGGACAAUGGGCGAAAGCCUGAUCCAGCCAUGCCGCGUGUGUGAAGAAGGUCUUCGGAUUGUAAAGCACUUUAAGUUGGGAGGAAGGGCAGUAACUUAAUACGUUGCUGUUUUGACGUUACCGACAGAAUAAGCACCGGCUAACUCUGUGCCAGCAGCCGCGGUAAUACAGAGGGUGCAAGCGUUAAUCGGAAUUACUGGGCGUAAAGCGCGCGUAGGUGGUUUGUUAAGUUGGAUGUGAAAUCCCCGGGCUCAACCUGGGAACUGCAUUCAAAACUGACAAGCUAGAGUAUGGUAGAGGGUGGUGGAAUUUCCUGUGUAGCGGUGAAAUGCGUAGAUAUAGGAAGGAACACCAGUGGCGAA